GGUCAUGUGAUUUGAAUGUUCUACUUGAUCAGAGGAGUUGUUCUCCUCAUUCCAGGUGGGAAAUUCGGUGGAACGCAGCUGUCCGCUCGCCGAGGGUUCAAACCCCCGGUGAGUUAUAAUCAAGCAAAUCCCUAACGGGAUUUUCGCUUCGUGAGAAGGUUGUUUCUAAUGGAACUUCAGCUUGAGCCCUAUUGUCGUUGUUAUAAUAAAUCAAGUCGCCAGUUCUUCUCUAAUGGAGACCACGUGACAUGGGAGGGACAACGGACGGACAGUUUAGCUUGUCAUUUACGACAAUGCCUAGUUGAGUGCAAUGCAGGGAGUCUGCAACUUACGCAGAUAACACAAUACCGAUUACCUUGUGUCU
rnacentral:RNase_P_RNA from 1 species